GACGAACGCUGGCGGCGUGCUUAACACAUGCAAGUCGAACGAUGAAACCUAGCUUGCUAGGUCGAUUAGUGGCGAACGGGUGAGUAACACGUGACUAACCUGCCCCUUUCUCUGGGAUAACGCUCCGAAAGGAGUGCUAAUACCGGAUACUCACAUCGAGGCACAUGCCUUGGUGUGGAAAGUUUUUCGGAAAGGGAUGGAGUCGCGGCCUAUCAGCUUGUUGGUGAGGUAACGGCUCACCAAGGCGACGACGGGUAGCCGGCCUGAGAGGGGGGCCGGCCACUCUGGGACUGAGCCACGGCCCAGACUCCUACGGGAGGCAGCAGUGGGGAAUAUUGCACAAUGGGCGCAAGCCUGAUGCAGCGACGCCGCGUGAGGGAUGAAGGUCUUCGGAUUGUAAACCUCUUUCAGUAGGGACGAAGCGAAAGUGACGGUACCUAAAGAAGAAGCACCGGCUAACUACGUGCCAGCAGCCGCCGUAA
rnacentral:rRNA from 1 species